rnacentral:rRNA from 1 species
CCAAGGGUUCCUGUCCAACGUUAAUCGGGGCAGGGUGAGUCGACCCCUAAGGCGAGGCCGAAAGGCGUAGUCGAUGGGAAACAGGUUAAUAUUCCUGUACUUGGUGUUACUGCGAAGGGGGGACGGAGAAGGCUAUGUUAGCCGGGCGACGGUUGUCCCGGUUUAAGCAUGUAGGCUGGUUAUCCAGGCAAAUCCGGAUAAUCAAGGCUGAGGUGUGAUGACGAGGCACUACGGUGCUGAAGUAACAAAUGCCCUGCUUCCAGGAAAAGCCUCUAAGCAUCAGGUAACAUCAAAUCGUACCCCAAACCGACACAGGUGGUCAGGUAGAGAAUACCAAGGCGCUUGAGAGAACUCGGGUGAAGGAACUAGGCAAAAUGGUGCCGUAACUUCGGGAGAAGGCACGCUGGUGUGUAGGUGAAGUCCCUGCGGAUGGAGCUGAGACCAGUCGAAGAUACCAGCUGGCUGCAACUGU